rnacentral:rRNA from 1 species
AGGACGAACGCUGGCGGCGUGCUUAACACAUGCAAGUCGAGCGGAAAGGCCCUUCGGGGUACUCGAGCGGCGAACGGGUGAGUAACACGUGAGCAACCUGCCCUUAGCUUCGGGAUAGCUCCGGGAAACCGGAAUUAAUACCGAAUAUGAUUUUGCUGACAUCAGCAGAGGUGGAAAGUUUUCGGCUAGGGAUGGACUCGCGGCCUAUCAGCUAGUUGGUGAGGUAACGGCCCACCAAGGCGACGACGGGUA